rnacentral:rRNA from 1 species
AGAGUUUGAUCAUGGCUCAGGAUGAACGCUAGCGGGAGGCCUAACACAUGCAAGCCGAGCGGUAUUUGUCCUUCGGGACAGAGAGAGCGGCGUACGGGUGCGGAACACGUGUGCAACCUACCUUUAUCAGGGGGAUAGCCUUUCGAAAGGAAGAUUAAUACCCCAUAAUAUAAACCAAGGCAUCUUGAUUUAUUGAAAACUCCGGUGGAUAGAGAUGGGCACGCGCAAGAUUAGAUAGUUGGUAGGGUAACGGCCUACCAAGUCAAUGAUCUUUAGGGGGCCUGAGAGGGUGAUCCCCCACACUGGUACUGAGACACGGACCAGACUCCUACGGGAGGCAGCAGUGAGGAAUAUUGGACAAUGGGUGAGAGCCUGAUCCAGCCAUCCCGCGUGAAGGACGACGGCCCUAUGGGUUGUAAACUUCUUUUGUAUAGGGAUAAACCUACUCUCGUGAGAGUAGCUGAAGGUACUAUACGAAUAAGCACCGGCUAACUCCGUGCCAGCCGCCGCGGUAA